rnacentral:rRNA from 1 species
GACGAACGCUGGCGGCGUGCUUAACACAUGCAAGUCGAACGAAGAGCGAUGGAAGCUUGCUUCUAUCAAUCUUAGUGGCGAACGGGUGAGUAACGCGUAAUCAACCUGCCCUUCAGAGGGGGACAACAGUUGGAAACGACUGCUAAUACCGCAUACGAUCCAAUCUCGGCAUCGGGACUGGAUGAAAGGUGGCCUCUAUUUAUAAGCUAUCACUGAAGGAGGGGAUUGCGUCUGAUUAGCUAGUUGGAGGGGUAACGGCCCACCAAGGCGAUGAUCAGUAGCCGGUCUGAGAGGAUGAACGGCCACAUUGGGACUGAGACACGGCCCAGACUCCUACGGGAGGCAGCAGUGGGGAAUCUUCCGCAAUGGACGAAAGUCUGACGGAGCAACGCCGCGUGAGGGAUGACGGCCUUCGGGUUGUAAAGCUCUGUUAAUCGGGACGAAUGGUUCUUGUGCGAAUAGUGCGAGGAUUUGACGGUACCGGAAUAGAAAGCCACGGCUAACUACGUG